GGCUUCGGCUCUGAAUAUCUAUGGCUAGAUAAAGUACAAGUCGUAACAAGGUUUCAGUUGGAGAACGAGCUGAAGGAUCAUUUUCAGUUUUUUGGGUGUGGGUAUCGGAAUGUGUGGUAGGUGAUAUGUGUGUCUAUGGGGGAUUCCAAGGGGACCAGCGGUGCGGUGGUGUGUGUAGGCGUGAGAGUGUAUCUGCAAGGGUGAGGGAUGUGGAUGCAGCGAGUUAGAGGUGGUUCCAUGUGGAAUAGUGGGAUUGGUACGUGAUGGUUGGAUGGGGGAAUGAUGUGUAUAUGGGUGAGGAAAAUCGGGAGGUUGCGGUGCGAAGCGGCAGUAGGGUGCCUUCAAGAGGUGU
rnacentral:misc_RNA from 1 species